GAUAACAAAUGAUGUGCAUUAUCUCUACUGAUGUGCAUUUUCUGGUGUGUAACCGAUUGAACUAUCAUCUAGGAACAUUUCACCAAAACAAUCUAGGAACAAUGCACAGUAUUAUUAACAAAUGCAAAUGUUAUAUUUAUGUAAAGAAAAAAUUAAGGUGAAAUAAAGGCUAAUACCAAAGCAUAUGUGAAUGGUAACUGAGAACAACAUCACACCGUGUUGAAAAAUUAUUGUCAUAUCGUUAGUGUUUAGUGUUUACAGUUUGAGAGUUUAGAAAGAAAAAGAAAAAAAAAAUCAAUUUAGUUGGUUUUAUACAUUGACAUCUACAAAAAUAUUUUAAAACUACCCUACAAGAAUAUUGUUAAAAGCUAUUGUGCCUACAAGAAUGUUGUUAGAAACUAUUGGGCCUUUCAAUCUGAUACAUCACAAGCUAAACCCACUAUCAAUAGCAAUACUUUUAUUUUUCAAUUCCAUUGGAUUCAUGCCACCAAUAGUGACACCACUUUAAAAAUGUUUUACUUGGUUUGGAACUAUAAAUAAAUAACCAAACAAGAGAUUGGGUG
rnacentral:lncRNA from 1 species